rnacentral:rRNA from 1 species
UAAUUGAAGAGUUUGAUCAUGGCUCAGAUUGAACGCUGGCGGCAGGCCUAACACAUGCAAGUCGAGCGGCAGCGACAACAUUGAACCUUCGG